UUGGAAAUUUAUUUUCAGUGUCGCAGGGAAACCGAUAAACACACCGCCUGGGGAGUACGACCGCAAGGUUAAAACUCAAAUGAAUUGACGGGGACCCGCACAAGUAGUGGAGCAUGUGGUUUAAUUCGAAGAUACGCGCGGAACCUUACCAACACUUGACAUGUUCGUCGCGACUCUAAGAGAUUAGAGUUUUCGGUUCGGCCGGACGAAACACAGGUGCUGCAUGGCUGUCGUCAGCUCGUGUCGUGAGAUGUUGGGUUAAGUCCCGCAACGAGCGCAACCCUCACUUUUAGUUGCCAUCAUUAAGUUGGGCACUCUGAAAGAACUGCCAGUGAUAAGCUGGAGGAAGGUGGGGAUGACGUCAAGUCCUCAUGGCCCUUACGUGUUGGGCUACACACGUGCUACAAUGGCAUCUACAACAGGAAGCAAAACGGCAACGUUAAGCAAAUCCCGAAAAGAUGCCUCAGUUCGGAUUGCACUCUGCAACUCGAGUGCAUGAAGCUGGAAUUACUAGUAAUCGUGGAUCAGCGUGCCACGGUGAAUGCGUUCCCGGGUCUUGUACACACCGCCCGUCACACCAUGGGAGUUGGUUCUACCUUAAGGCAAGGUUUUAAACCCUUGACCACGGUAUAGUCAGCGACUGGGGUG
rnacentral:rRNA from 1 species